rnacentral:rRNA from 1 species
UACGUAGGGACCGAGCGUUGUCCGGAAUCAUUGGGCGUAAAGAGCUCGUAGGCGGCUUGAUAAGUCGGAUGUGAAACCUCCAGGCUCAACCUGGAGUCGCCAUCCGAUACUGUCAUGGCUAGAGUCCGGUAGGGGCCCACGGAAUUCCUGGUGUAGCGGUGAAAUGCGCAGAUAUCAGGAGGAACACCGGUGGCGAAGGCGGUGGGCUGGGCCGGCACUGACGCUGAGGAGCGAAAGCGUGGGGAGCGAACAGG